rnacentral:lncRNA from 10 species
ACCAUGCUGACAUGAUGGUCCAACAUGCACAAACCAUGUUCCCGUUCCCCAGUGGCAACUGCUUUCAAUUCCUUUAGUUGAUAUUUUGCAAUUUUUCUCCACGUCUCUUAAUACUAUGAUCCUAAUACAAUCAUACUAUUAUUUUUAUUAAAUCAAUAUUCAAUAGUGUUCCCGAUAAGAAGUAGACUGCAUUUCUGAUACUUGUCAAUUGUUUAAGAGAAGAAAAUUGGAAUUGUACAGAGGACUGAGGUGGAGAAAAGACAGAGUCUAACGUCAUAUUUGGAUCCUUCAUUUAUUCCUCAACUCAGCCAUCACUACUGUCUUAUUUCAUUCUCAUGCUGCUAUGAAGAAAUACUGAGGUGGGGUAAUUUAUAAUGGAAAGACACUUAAUUGGAUCACAGUUCCACAGGGCUGAGGAGGCCUCAGGAAACAUACAAUCAUGGAGGAAGGGGAAGAAAACACAUCCUACUUCACAUGGUGGCAAGAAGAAGAAGUGUUGAGCCAACAGGGGAAAAGCCCUUUUCUCAUCAGAUCUCAUGAGAACUCAUACACUAUCACGAGGACAGCAGCAUGGGGAUAACUACCCCCAUGAUUCAAUUACUCCCACCAGAUCCCUCCCAUGACACAUGGGUUUUAUGGGAGCUACAAUUCAAGAUGAGAUUUGGGUGGGGACACAGCCAAACCACAUCAACUUACUGAAUACUUUCUGUGUAUGUCUAAUAAUUUUGAUAUAGUUCUACUGUCUUUCCCCUGAUGGCUUUGCUUAGGGAUGUUUAUAAAUGAAAUUACUCAUCCUGUCACCAAAUUGUGAUCAAAGAUGAACAGAUCUGACUCAUUGUGGUGGUGAUGAUAAUAAUAAUCCAAAUUCUAUCCCCUCUGUUGUCAGUUUAAUCCUACCAUAACAUGGUGACCUGGGGAUUAAGCCUGACUAGCCACAGGGCUAACACAGGGGAAUAAUUCAUGAGAAUGACAAUUCAGACUCAGCCAAGGUUGCAUUUUUAUCAGUUCAUUGUUGAACCAUCAAUCAAAUGAGACCAAAGGUAACCACAAUACCGAGGAUACACAGAAGCUCACAUUGGGAUUAAUCUUCUGGUCCUUCUGAUCUCACAGGGACAGCUCUAAGUUAUGUUAUUUCAAUAGCCCUCUUAGAAUAACAUGGGAAGAUCCUAAAAUUGCUGCCUUGAGGUAGGGGAGGAACUCCACGUCAGUCUUUCAGAGUUCAUGCCAGUAACACAUUAAUAACAACAACAACAAAAAAAAACGUGCACUGAAGCUUCAUACUUUAAAUGCCAUUUGUUGUUGAAUCAUCGAGUCUACUUAAAUUUUUCUUCUAACAGAUCACAGACUACCAUGGUAGAUUUACUCUUAUAAUUCAUUUAAUAAAGAGACUUAAUUCAAAGAUUUAUGAAAAUAAUAACAACAAAAAUUGUUUAAAGUUUAUUUUUCUUCACCAACUGCUGUCCUGAGACAUGUUGCAUAGGUUCUCCCUCCAUUCCCUGUUGAAGGUAUUUUAGACAUAGCCCAUAGGUUUCCCAAUCACUUUUUAGUCAUAAGAACACAGGUCAUUUUAGAAAUGAAAACACUCUGGAUUCAGGAAUAUCCAAGAUUUCAAUCUUCAAUCUAGUUCACAAUAUCUCCUUUUCCCCAAGUUAAGGAAUAUAAGGUGGAGAAAUAAAAUAGUUGUACCUUCAGUAUUUAUUUUUCAUGUAUAUCUGCCUCCAUACUUCAUGCAGCAGGUGGGUGGGGCAGGAGGAGGUGCAAAGAUUAGAGAAGAGGGAAAUGAAUUCUACUGAGCUGGUUCUGUCUGUGGUGUUCUCUUGCCCAACAGUACCUAGUCAGCAUACUCUCUGUGGGGCAGGAGUUCUAACAUUAAAUUUUGAGUGUACACAGCUGUAGCUUCCUUAGAACUAUUUCUGUCCCUUGCUCUGUCAUGGACACCUUUGCACUGGUCAGCUCUGUGGGGACAGGAAAUGCACCCUUCAGACAAUUUUCUCAUCUCCCCAGGUAGCCCUAUGGGAAGAAUCCAUUCAGAGUGAUGUCAGAGACCGUGUUAUAAUUCCAGUUCUGCACCCCAUUGUUUUCCUUCCCUAUGCUACAACACUUAGCAGCAUCUACUCACUUUGGGGUAUACUUCCUGCCUCUUGACUUUGGAUUUGUCUAUUUGACUUACUCUGACCAAUAGAAUAAAGAUGAAAUGAUAUUAUACCCAUGUUAGCAAAAGCCUCGGCAGGAUUUUCAUGUUUGUUUCUUCUUUUGUUCUCUGUCAUUACCAGGAGAAGAAUAUCCUCAGCCUAGACUGUAGUUAUGAAAAAGGUGAUGACAAACACGAAGCAGUGCCACCAGCCACACCCAGCCUAGAUGACCAGGUACUAGCUUGCACAGGCAGACCUAUGAGUGGGCCUAGCAGGGACCAGCAGGGAAGCCAGCCUGGGCCUGUCCUGUGUUAUCUGAAUCCUAUCCAACCUUCCAUCUCAUGAGCCAAACAGAUACUCCUCAUUGUAUAGCACAGAGAUUAUGUGGAUGUGUGCUUAGGACAGUACUAUGGUGCAGUUAUUAACUGACACGAUUAAUUACCUUUGUGUCAUAAUUCACCUACCUGAAAUCCCUGCACUUUUAUUAUGUCAAAUAUGGAAAGCAUUUGCUGCUGCUAUGCUUCUUGUCCUGACUUUAUAAAUUACUUCCCACAUCCAUUCUGUCCUUUCUUAUAUGGGAGGUUGGCAAACAUUUUCUGUAAAGGGCCUGCUAAUACAUUUCUUACAGAUUGUAUGCUGUCUGCCUCCAUUUAUCUAUGCUAUUAUAAUGUGAAAGCAGCCGUAGAAAACAAAACAAUAAAUGGUGAGAUGUGGGUAUGUUUCAGUAAAAUUUUAUUUAUAAAAGCAGACAAUAGACUGGGUUUGGACCAUGGGUCAUAGUUUGUUAACCCAGCUUUAUGGUAACAAAAUCUGUUACCAUGGUAGCAAUGGGCAUAUGACUGCUUUGCUGAAACAUUAUCAUAUUCCUGCCUACUUUCCAGAUACAUGGCAAAAUAUCCAGUCAAUUUACUGUCAUAAAAAUAUUAUUUAAUAUCCUUAAGUCCCUGGCACAUCUCUGGCCCUUCUCCCACCUUUUCCCCUGGUAGAACUUGUACCAAAAGGAGAGAAGAUGCCUACACCUAGAGGAGUAAGCUCAAAAGAGCCAGGGUCUCUGACAAGUUCAUGAACUCACAACCAGUUUGGUCUGCAUAGUUAUGUCCUUCUUUUACAUUAAGUAUUUUUUCUUUUUUUUAAAUCCAUCUAAAUUAAGACUUGUC